AACGAACGCUGGCGGCAUGCCUAACACAUGCAAGUCGAACGAGACCUUCGGGUCUAGUGGCGCACGGGUGCGUAACGCGUGGGAACCUGCCCUUAGGUUCGGAAUAACUCCCCGAAAGGGGUGCUAAUACCGGAUAAUGUCUUCGGACCAAAGAUUUAUCGACUUUGGAUGGGCCCGCGUUGGAUUAGCUAGUUGGUAGGGUAAAAGCCUACCAAGGCGACGAUCCAUAGCUGGUCUGAGAGGAUGAUCAGCCACACUGGGACUGAGACACGGCCCAGACUCCUAGGGGAGGCAGCAGUGGGGAAUAUUGGACAAUGGGCGAAAGCCUGAUCCAGCAAUGCCGCGUGAGUGAUGAAGGCCUUAGGGUUGUAAAGCUCUUUUACCCGGGAUGAUAAUGACAGUACCGGGAGAAUAAGCUCCGGCUAACUCCGUG
rnacentral:rRNA from 1 species